rnacentral:rRNA from 1 species
AUGCGGCGUAUAUAUGAAACCAAACAAGAGGCUCAAAACUAUAUUCAAUUUGUUACAACAUUUUGUAUGUCUAAUAUAUUCGCCAGCUUAUGCAACUUUAGUUUUAUGUUUCAUUAUUUUGAAAAAUAUUGCAGAAACUCGAGAUGGUUGGUGUGGAUUAUGAGCAUGCACGCACACCUUGCCGCUGGUUGGUGUGGAUUCGUGAGGCAGGUGGGAGAAAGAUCGACAAAGUGGUGGUGUCCUGCGGCUGGGAGGGCCACGGUGAGCACCCCCUGCCCCCUCCCACAAUUUUUUUAUGUGCCACAAAUUUCUCAUGGAUGGCUGUGA